rnacentral:rRNA from 1 species
AUUGAACGCUGGCGGCAGGCCUAACACAUGCAAGUCGAACGAGUGGCGGACGGGUGAGUAAUGCCUGGGAAACUGCCUGAUGGAGGGGGAUAACUACUGGAAACGGUAGCUAAUACCGCAUACCAUCGGAUGUGCCCAGAUGGGAUAAGCUAGUAGGUGGGGUAAAGGCUCACCUAGGCGACGAUCCCUAGCUGGUCGGAGAGGAGGACCCGCCACACUGGAACUGGGACACGGUCCAGACUCCUACGGGAGGCAGCAGGGGGGAAUAUUGCACAAUGGGCGCAAGCCUGAGGCAGCAAGGCCGCGGGGAUGAAGAAGGCCUGCGGGUUGUAAAGUACUUUCAGCGGGGAGGCGUUACCCGCAGAAGAAGCACCGGCUAACUCCGUGCCAGCAGCCGCGGUAAUAC